CCUCCUCCCCCCUGACCCCCUCUCAUGUCACCUCUGCCCCUCCCUCUAGCUGCCUCUUCUGGUGGCGUAGCCUGGGGAUGGGGUCGACCUCCAAAGCAACGAACUCCACCAAGGAAGCAUUUGUUGUGGCACCACAGAACCACACAUCUCCUUCUAACUCACAUGGUCUGUAGGCCAUGGCGGAAUGCUCGUCCAGGAUCAGGGAACAGCUGGAGUUUUAUUUGCAAGGCAUGGUGAUGCGGCCGUUCCUGCGUUUGAGGAAAUAUUACAAUGUGCAACUUAUUUUCAAGACUAAUAGAUAUACUUGGGACUAAUACUCUGAUAGCUCCAGCUCCAAUCGAUCCAAUAGUGGAAUCUAUGCUAGGAGUAAUGUUAAUAGCUGACUCCGAUAGUGAGUAAAGAGAUUUAGCAAAUCUACUUGGUGGCGUCCUGGUAGGUAGCAUUAGCAUUAUGUUUCUCGAACCACGAACCACGAACUAAGAAGAUCAAGGGAGGGGAUAGUGAGAGUGGGGAAGGCCAUGGAGCUACGUGCAAUGGGUGCAGCUCUUGGCGCUAUGGAUCCCCCACGAGCGCCUCCGUGGUAACUCACUUAUGUGUCCGAUGUUCCUCUGUAAAUGAUGAACUUUAAUAUUCCCCGUCUUAAAGCACAUAUUGUGUUAGGCCCUAUAAUGUGUCCGUGGUCCGAUAUGUACAUAUUUCACUAUGGACGUGUUUGGUUGGGGCACUUUGGGCCCGUAUUAGAUACCCCGUAACCCGAUACGGGUCCGGGUGUUUGGUCGUGACUCUAUGUAAUCGCUUUAAACUGUAUCGGAUACAUCUCUUCGCUAGGGGAAUAACGCCCGACCUCGAGCAAAAUCAGAUCCGGGAAUCGGCUUCUCUUCCUCUCUCCGCACGAUGGCGACCUAGCCGGCGACCAUAUCUUAAUUUUUGUAGACCAACAUGGCUCGUCUCCCAUUAAACGCACGAUCAAGAAGAAGGAACCUGAGAAUUAGGCUAAUGAUGAGUAGUCUAGUAAUGAUGUAUUACUAUGUGUGGUUAAUGUUUUCCGUCGCCUAUAGAAGAAGGUGUUUGAAAAUAGAGAGGAGGAUUAGGAAUAGGAGUCUUAGGGCUCAGCGAUUGUUUGAGAUGAUUCAUGAGAGUGACAAGGGUUGCAUAUCUGAGCUGCGUGUUAAUAGAAGAACCUUCCACGUUCUGUGUGAUAUGGUGGCAGAAUUUGGUGGCCUUAGGGGCACACACAAUACUUCACUUGAAGAAAUAGUUUCUAUAUACCUUGUCUCACCAUAUUAAGAAUAGGACAGUUGGCAAGUAUUUCUACAGGAGUGGAGAGACAGUGAGUAGGAAUUUCAAUGCUUGCCUUCUAACUGUGCUUAAGCUGCACUCUUUGCUGCUUGAGAAACCAGAGCCUAUACCUGAGGACAGUGAUGAUCUAAAAUGGAAAUAUUUCAAGAAUUGUUUGGGUGCCUUAGAUGGUACUCAUGUUAAGGCUACUGUCCCAGCAGACAUUAAACGGAGGUAUAGGUCGAGGAAGGCUGAGAUUAAUACCAAUGUCUUAGGUGUUUGUGGACUUGUCAUGAAGUAUAUUUACAUGUUGCCUGGAUGGGAGGGCUCUGCCCAUGAUGGGAGAGUUUUAAGAGAUGCUAUCUCACGCCCUAAUGGUUUACGAGUACCUGCAGACCAAUAUUACCUAGUUGAUGCUAGAUACACAAAUGGGAAGGGGUUUUUAGCUCCAUACCGAGGACAGAGGUAUCAUAUUGGUGGUUGGACCGCACAAAAUCCACCAAAUAGCGCUGAAGAAUAUUUCAACAUGUGUCAUGCUAAAGCUAGAAACAUUGUUGAGAGAUCUUUUGCUAGAAUCAAGAAUAAAUGGGCAAUUUUGAGGUCUCCAUGCUUUUACCCUCUAAAAACACA